GUCACGGGCCGGCUGCGGCGUCAGGGCGUCGGGCUCUGCGUCGGCUACCCGAGUGUUAAAUUUCAUGGAAUCAGAAUCGUUUCAGUUGGAAAAAGCCACGAAGAGCGCCAAGUCCAGUCCUUUACCUUGCACCGCCAAGUCUACCACCACCAAUCCGUGUCCCCAAGCACCACAUCUCCAUGUCUUUUAAAUAUGUGCAGGGAUGGUGAAUUGACUGCUUCCCUGGGCAGCAGUUCCAGUGCUUCACAGCCUUCUCAGUGAGUAAUUAAAUAUCCAGCCUGAACCUCCCCUGGCACAACUUGAGGCUGUUUCAUCUUGCCCCAUCACUUAAUGCUUGGGGAAGAGGUUAACCCACCUUGUCACAACCUCCUUUGAGGUGGUUGUGGAGAGUGGCAAGGACUCCCCUAAGCCUCUUCUUUACGCUGAAUAACCCCAGCCUCUCCUAUGACUUGUGAGGCUGAAGGGUGGGCCCUGAUCUGCAAACAUAAGGGGAGGCACUGGAGGGGCACCCUCACUGAGCCUCCAGGUGGGUCAUGAGUGGUGAAUCCAAAGAGCUAGAACGUCCUGCUCUGGGGAGAGACAGCACUGGCCAGUGUGCUUAUCCAUCUUCUCCAGCACACACGGUUACCUUUACAAAGGUAAAACAGGCUCAAAAGAAGGAAUCAGAGGUGACCUCACUGGUACAUAUUCAUUUUUGUCAGUGGCUGGUUGGGCUGAGCAGGAGAGAACUGCUCUCUAGAACCCAAUGGAGACAGGACGGCAUCCCCUCUGGCUCCAGGAGGAUCAGACAGUGCUCAGCUCUGCAUGGCACCCACCUCGCACCCCUCUGGCUCAGACAGAAUGACUCCUCACCUGUCUUCUGAAGCUUGUGGAUUUCAUCCUCAGCAUGGCAGAAGAAGCCAGGGUAUCUGUCUGAAGAUUUCAUAGGGCAGUGGUACCCAAAAUCCAAGUCCUGGAGGCUCUGAUAGAUUGGCAGGUGUGAAUUAAAAUGGUAUGGUAGAAGCUUUAUCAUAUUUCUAUCCUCACCCACCAUUCUGAAGCAGGAAUUAUCUGCUUACAGCUGCUUCUCAGACCUCUUCUGGUUUUGUUUAAACACACUGGUUUUAUUUCAGGAGGCAUCCAAAUGUUGGCUGAUACCUGAGACAGCUUCAAAGCACAUUCAUGCUCACCUAAGAAUGGCAAUUGGAAGCCUGUCACCAGGGACCAAACACUGAAGAUACCUAGCAAUAGCAAGAUAACACAAUCCAACAGAACAGGCAAGGGUGAUGUCUUGUGAUGAAAACACACAGAGAUCAGCUGCAGUAAGACUGUAGGAAGCUGCAAAGAACAGGAAGUGUGCAGAUUUUUUUCUUCUUUGCUUAAUUGCUGAGGUAAGUUGAAAAUCACUGAAUACUUAAGGGAAAGGAUUUUUUUUUCUUUUUUUCUUUUUAAACUAUUAAUGGAGAUAUUAGAUGCAGAUGCAAUUUCAAGCAGAUAAAAUGAGAUCUUAUGACUGAACUAACAUUUAUUUAAGUAGUAAAACAGAAAAAAGCUGUUCUUCACUUAUACUGUAUUUCAGUAUGCGGCCCUCCCUACUGAAGAUUUUGAAAGGUCUUUUCAUGAAAUUCCUUGGUCCAUGUGGUCAUCAUGCCUUUCUAGGAUUCAAGUUGUGUAGUUAAAAAAAAAACACUUUAGCAUCACCAUUUAAUUCUCACUUAAAACAGACUUCACAGUAUAUUUUAUCUUGCUGCUCAAACCCACGUUGCGUGGUAAAACUUCAACAUUAUAAAGCCUCAUAUUUAAAAAUCUUUAAACUUGGGGCUCUGACAGAUUUUACAUUAAAAAAAAAAGUUAUUGAUAUCCAAAUAAUAAAUGCUGUUUACAAGGUUCAAUUUUUGAUAGACAAAAACAACUAAAUAAACAGGUCAGUUGAUAAUACAAAGUUGUCUUCAUUUUCACUAGCUUUCAUGCUUGAAGAACUGGACCUGAACAACCUUGGAACCUGCAAAGCAUUCAAAGUGUAGUAUACUAUCAACUAACACAAUUUCAGCCUGCAGAUUCUGUGUGAUUUGUUAUGCUAUGAAGGAAAAAAUCACCAGACCUUAAAACCUCUUGAAUUUAUCCUUUCUUUCAAGAUUCAUUGCAUUUUAUAACCUUUGUUCUCAUGCUUUCAAAAUUGCAGCGAACGAGACAUGAAUUUGUUCAAGUUUAAAAACUCAGUGCACUACUGUUCAUGCUUAUAAUAGAUGAUUACAUAAAAGUCCAGAAGCACCCAAACAGAACAUCCCAAGAAAAAUGUUAACUAUUGUGUUAAAUGUUAAGUAAAUAAAUAAAAAUUAGCUCCACCUAAAAUUAAACAUUUACUAUAUGUCCACAUGUACAUCUUCAUACAGGAAGACAUUCAUAGCUGCUCCUGUGCCAGCCAUUGUGGAAUCAGGAGAAAAGAGAUUAUUGAGAAAGUUGUGAUCCUUGUCACCUUCUCAAAUACGCCACAUACACUGAUCCAGAGUUACCACUUUGUCUUUUUGACAGCAAGAAUUUGAGAGCCUAUACUCAUGAAAAUAUAUUAUUUUGGUUUUUAACUUUUUUUUUUUAAUAAACUUGUUUAUGAGCAAGAAGUUCAAAUGCAUUAGAGUUUGUUUUAAAAUGUCAGUCCUUCUUCCACCUUCCCUUCCCUUCCUUCUUUCCUUCUUUGCUGGAGGUUUUUAUAUUACAGAAAUGAACAUCCAUCUUGCCACAACAAAGCUUAGGAUAUACCCAGAGCAGAUACAAGCUGUGAGCUCAGGCAGUCACUGUCAGGAGUUUGUUGUUCUAUAGUUUUCCCCUGUAGGACCCAACUGCAGGGUUCAGUUUCCUCAUAAAGUCUGUCAAAUUCGCACACUCCCGAGCUCAGACCCAUGCCGACCAGGACCUACUGCUGUUUCUGUAGUACACAAGAGGGAGCUAUUGUUCACAACAACUUUCCAAUGCUACUUUUUGUUGGAAAUGGACUGUUCUUUCAGAUUGGCCUUUUCAAUUUAGUAAUAAGAGGAUAUUGGAAAGUUAAAACAAAAACAACGUGUCAGUGCAUAAUAUAGGCUUAGAUACAAGCUAUGGGUUGCAAACCCCAAGACUCAUGCUUGGGUCAGGCUUCCAGUAUAGCUGUGAAAGCUAUGCUUUAAGUGCUUUUAGGUACCAGGACUUCAUGUAUAACAUAGAUCACCAGCAGAGAGGCUCACUGAGCAGAAAUCUGCAAAAAAUCCAUGAAAAAUGAAGAAAAGACUGUCUUGUGAAGUUGAGGGUGGACACGGCUUGCUCAGAAACGGAGAUUCCUCUGAUUGUCUAAUUAUUAGAGAUUGUCUCUGAUUAAUAUUCACAGCUCCCAGACCUCCCAGGUAGUGCUAGGAUGAGGUGGCAGGGACUGUUGCUAUUAAUUCAUCUUCUUCCAGAGUGAAGGGCUCACGUUGUGUGAGGGGCUUUUUCAUGCCUCUUUUCUGACUGAAGCUGGACUUUAAUGGACUGUGAGAAGAGAAAAGAUUUGGAUAAGUAUUGAAACACCUCAGAAAGAGGCAGACAAUGAAACACUGACUGCACUGAAGUAAAUAAGAACUGCAAAUGAUGCCCUAGCUAGAUCUUAUGCAAAGAAUCUGAAGAAUCUAGGUACGCUUUCUGCAGUGCUCUUCACAAUGGCUUGUGGUUUUUUUGUUUGUUUGUUUGUUUGUUUGUUUGUUUUGUGUGUGUGUGUUGCUUUGUUUUGUUGCCCUCCCAGUAUUGACUGAAUUUUGGUAAUGCUGUUACACUUACCUGGCAAAAGAAAGACUUCUGUUUAUCUGCUCUGAUUUAAGGUACUUAUGAUAUGCUAUAAAACUCUUAGAAAGAGUUUUUAUAAGAGUCUUUACAACUAUAUGUAGCUGAUCUAAUGAAAGACAACAUUCUCUCUACAGGAACUGUGUCAAUCACAGCAUUUUAAGCAGUAUUGUGGCUGUACAGGUAGUGGACAGGAUUUAGAAGACAAGGCAAAAAGAAUUCAAUACAUUUUUCUUACCUGUUAUAUACCUAAGUUGUUAUUCCCUAUUCAUAGUAAUCCUAGCUAUUCAUGCAUUGACUGCAAAUAUGUACCGAAAAUGAAUAUAUUGGUCUGUUACCAUCUAUCAUGCCAUAAUUACUGCUUAUAAGCCAAGGCCAAUUAACAAACAAAGCAUUUUACAUGACUGGCUGUCUAGUAACUGCUGCUGUUGUAUUUCCUGAGGGAAGCAAGCCAAAAUGUCAUGUAUGUGAAUAAGGAUGCCUAUCUAGUACACUAUCUGGCUACCAGAGUGUAGUCUGUUCAUUUAAAAAUCAUCUCUCUUAACCUUGGAUGAUACACUGAGCACAAGGUAUCUUAAUAUUAAAAUUUAAUAUUAAAAAGAUACCAGAUAAGUAUUAGCAUCUCGAGUGUUACAAGUACUCUAAGCUAGAAGAGAACUUCUGCUUUUCCUCUUAGCCAACACAGGAACAGUUUUAAAAACUUGGAAAGCUUAAUAUAAUUGGGUAUCCUGUGAAUCAGCUGGCAUUUUGUUUUGGAGUAUUUCUCAUUUGUUUUGCAUGGUUUCUUGCCCUUAGGAUAUUUAACUGGUACAUUUAGGUGUAUUACUUAAGGAAACAGAAGCAUCUGGAAAAGCAAUACGUUAUCAUGGCAUUUGAAAAUAGGAGUCCAAAUCUCACAGGUGUGGCAAUUUAUAACAGAUUAAGUUAAGACAAAGAUCAGUCAUUAAAUAGAUCAGAGAAAAACACCUGUAGAAGUGUCAUGUACAGAUAGAGGAAGAGAUAUCAAAUGUGUUUCUUGAGGUGGAAUAAUAAUGGGGAAAACAAGACUAAUAAGAAAAACAAGCAUCUUAGGUGGGAUUGAAAACAGGAAGAAAGCUACUACUCCACAGUUGUAAAAUUGCGAUGCAUCAAUGUGUAUUUUGGAGUUUGAGGAAGAAACACACGAUCUCUUUCUCUAUAGUCAUAAUUCAUCUAUUUUUUACUGCAGUUGAAGUGAAGAGUCUGUGACAUGCAUAUUGCAGUGAAAAUCAUGCUUGAAGAAUUUUUGUAUGAUUCAGUGAAACAUUCAACAAAAAAUAAAUGAAUAGUGGACAGUGGUUAGAAUUGCUCAGAACUUGGGUGACAGGUUACAGCACAAAGCAGCUUUGGAUUUCUUAUGAUGAAAUCACAGUUUGCCAGAGAAUAAGCUAUCGAAUCAUCUUAUAUGAGCCCACUGUUUAUUUCACUCAUUUACAUAGAAAAAGUAAAGGAUUAAUUAAUUAGCAGUGGAGAGGUGUAAGAAUACUUUAUGCCUCUUUGAUUUGUUCUAUAACAAGUCUGCACAAGGUAAUACAGACAUAGAACCCUAGUUAAAGUCUUACUUACAUCUGAGUACAAAGCAUAAUGCGAUGGAAAUCUCAGAAAACAUGCUUGUACAAAACUGACAAUGAAGAUUGUCUGCUCAGAACAGUCUUUCACUAAACGGUUCUCUCUAUGACAAAUUGGCUCAAACUAGAAGCUGCUAAAAAAGAGCCUUACUGCAGGAGCAUAGAGAUCUCUCAGUGCAGAUUCCUCAAGACUUUAGGCUGGAAUACUGGUGUCAGAACUGAGCUAAUGGCUGCCUACUGAAGAAGAAUUUGUUUCCAGCAGCCUCUGUACCACAGUAGGAACGUAAGGAAUCCAAGAGACUUGCCUUUGUUCCUGUUUUAGCCUUAGUCAUUUGUUUUGGACAAAAUUCAGCUGUCACCCACAUGGAAGACUAAAUCAUGAGGAAGUACAGAAACAGCUGGCGUUUGAGCUGCUGUUGCAACCGGUGUACGCUGCAUUCCUUACCAAGUCCUCCUGUUCUGCUAGAUGGAAACACUGAAGCAAAUCUUAUUAUGAAAACUAAUGCAUGAGGAUGAAAGACGACAUCCAACAAGACAAGAUUUCUUUCAAAGAAAGAAAGAACAAGGAUAAUUCCAUACUUCUACAGGACAAAGAUGGUUCUACAUGAUGCAGGCAUUCUGAAGUAGACAGGGAGAAUUUUAAAGUGGCUAUGAAAGGAAAGCAAGACCAAGAACACAAAGACACCUUUGCUUCAACACUGACAGUUGCACAUAGGGAGAAAAAGAAAGAUUAACUCACAACUGAAGAUGAUUGAGAAAUUGUCAGAGAUACAUUCUAAUCAGAAAAAGGCUGUAGAGGAACCCAUUUUGUUGGGACAGGUUUUAUUCUAUGUUUUCAAGCAUCUUGGCACCAGUAUCUUCAGUUAUUCACUUUUCAGCAAAUUUUUGUAACUUGUUAUUACUCAUUUUCAGUAGAAAAAUAAGAUACAUUGAAAACUCACUGUAAGGUAAAAAUAUAUAACAAUUAGAGUUCUGGAUAGAAAUAAAAGACAGGAUUUCAACCACAUGUUUUUAUAUGUUUUUAAUUUCCUUGGUAAAUUACAAAAGUACAGACAACAUUUUGACAAGGGCUUUCUCCACAUUAGAUAAAAGAGCUGACAUGAAGAAAUGCUGCUGUGAAAAUAAAGGAUUUUGAGGGAUUCAAGGGAUUCAUUUAGAAUACUGAUUCAAUUUCUGAAAGCCAAAUGAGCUUUCAUUCAAAAAUAAAACCAAGACUAUGAGUAAUACUCUUAAGUAAGCUUACAAAUUGGAGAGGGAACCUUCACACAAUUGCUGGAUAUUUUUCCCCACUCUAAAGUGGAAAGAUGAGGAGGUGGAAUUGCUCUUUGUGUGAGUGAACAACUGGAAUGCAUUAAGCUCUCCCAGCAGAUGAGUACUGAAUGACUGCAGAGCUAAUGUGUGAGAAUUAAGGGGCAGGCUUAAGGGACAGGCAAAUACGAGUGGCACCAUUCUGGGUGUUUAUUAAAGGCUGUCUGAUCAGGAGGAGGAAACUGAUGAGGCCUUGAACAGACAGCUGGAAGUAGUCUCAUGAGCACAGGCACUGGUUCUCAUGGGGUACUUAAACCACUGAUAUUUGCUGGGAAAGCAACACUGCCAGACAUACACAGCCCAGGAUGCUACUGCAGUGCAUGGAAGAUAAGUUCCUCAUGCAGUUGGUGGAGGACCCAAUGAAGACAAGUGUGUUGCUGAACCUUGCUCUUGCACACAAGGGAGGACGGGUUGGGAAGGUGAAAACUGGGGUUAGACUUGGCUGUCAUGACCAUGAGAUAGUGGAAUUCAGUGGAAGAAAUAGCGCAAUAAGAUUGCAACCUUGGACUUCAGGAGAACCAACUUUUACCUACUUGGAGGCAUCCCAUGGAUUAGAGCAUUGGAAGGUAAGGAGGCCUGAGAUAGCUGGUUAACAUUCACGCACCACUUCUUUUAAGAUCAAGAUUAGUGCAUCGCUAAGAGUAAGAAAUCAGGCAAAGGUGACAGGAAAGCCACAUGGAUGAGCAAGGAGCUCACGGAGAAACUCAAAUGGAUGAAGAAAGCUUACAGAAUUUGGAAGAAGAGUUUGGUCACUUGGGAGGAAUAUAGGAAUGUCAGCAUGCAGGGAUUUGACAAGGAAGGUUAAGGCCCACUUGGAAUUAAAUCUGGCAAGGGAGAUCAAAGACAACAAGAAGGACUUCUUUGAGUAGAUCAGUAGCAAAAGGAAGACUAGGGAAAAUAUGGGCUUACUACUGAAUGAUGUGGUUCCCCUGGUAACAGAGGACACUGAGAAGAUGAAGUUACUGAGUCUUAGCUGUAAAGACUGAAGAAGUCUUUACAGGAAUUCCAGGCCCCUGAGAUAAGGCAGAGGGUCUGGAAAAAGGAAGUCCUCCCCUUGGUUGAGGAGGAUCUGUUCAGAGAUUGUCUAGGCACACUUGACACACAGAGUUCUAUGGACCCUGAUGGGAUGCAUUCAUGAGUAAUGAGGGAACUGGCAGAAGUGAUUGCUCUAUCACCUCUGAAAUGUCAUGGAGAAUGGGAAAGAUGCCUGAAGAAUGGAAGGAAGACAAUGUCAUUCCAGUCUUCAAAACUGGCAAGAAGGACUUGGGAAACAACAGGCCAGUCAGCCUCCCCUCCAUCCCUGGAAGGCAAUGAAACAGCUUAUUCUGGAUGUCAUCUCCAAGAAAGCAGAAGUGAAAAAGGCUAUAAGGAGUAGCCAGCAUGGAUUCACCAAGGGGAAAUCAUCCUUGACUGAUCUGUUAGCCUUCUGGGAUGUCAUGACAGGCUGGGUAGAUGAGGGGUAGAGUGGCCGUGAGCCCAGGCUUGUGUCAAGUAUGAUGGGAAUGUGAGAGUGAAGCUUAAACAUCUAGACUAACCAUAACGUGAGACUAUCAUUUAAAUUUAAAAUGUGCAUUUCUAAAGUUAGUACAACAACACCCACUCUGUCUGUAAAGCAUAAGAAAAUUAUAUCCAUACGAAUUUAUGAAAUUGAUCCGUAAGUUACUAUGAUAGAUCAUAGUAUGCCAAUUGAAAUGAUUUAGAGUCUAAUCAAGCACUGCUCCAUCAUCUUGAUCUGACAAGCCUUUUGCAGCAAGCACAGAGAAUGGGACAAAAACCUCUUAUUACAGUUUAUCAUGACAGUGAAGAUAUACAUCAAGUACUGGAGAGAGUCAAGAAGGAUGGAGAAUUUCGAUGGUGGGAAGUCCUGCUUGGGUGAUCUCCUAUAGCAACUGGAGCACUGAACCUAAAGCUGCCACCCACCGUGAUUUCACUAACUCUUAUUAUGUUAACUGUUGCUUUAUCCAUCAGGGUCUGGAGAAUGGCUAGCCUAGUUGCGCUGCUGAAAGGACUCCCUCAUGUGUACAACACUGUUUACAUUUUCAACUUACAUAAUUGAACAUGUUGGAAAAGAGUGCUGUCUGUUUAUAGGCAUAGAGGCAAGAGAAACCACGCUGCUACUUCGUGGAAAGAUAGACUGACUUCUGGAUUGUGGUGCUGAAGAACCCUGAGCCACUCUGCGAUCUCAGAAGUCAUCAUUAGGCUUUUGCCUUAGUUCAAGUAUAAUGAGUUGGGAUGAUCAAGUAAUCCCUGACCAUACUGGGAAUUCCUGCUCCUUGAAUUGUGGUCUGAUCUGAAAGAUACCAGAAAUGUACAGUCUGCGAGUACUGCAACUGUAUGGCUGAGAGAAAAUUCUGGUACUACCUCACCUGAAUUGUUGGAAAGUUUUCUGACUGGUCAAUUAUCUUGCGGUCCUAUAAUAAUGGUCCUAAGGAAAGAGUCCCUUGAGAUCUCAAGGACUGCAGUGGGCUGUGAUCCUUGAUCGCCACCUGGCCUGGGAUGUCUCUCAGUGUAGAUUUCUUGAGAUUCACCGCUGGCAGAUGUCAAUGAAGAGGAGAUAUUUUUUUGAGCAGACCCCAGUUGUCUGCUGAGAGCUGGUGAAAAGGAAGGGUGAGUAGCUCACCAUGGGGUAGAGAGUCCUCAAGCAAACAGCCAAAUUUAGAAACCUCUCCCUCCAAUAUUCUGCAGUAAGUCUCAUGUGAACUUCAUCCUCUGUGAAUCUUCAGCUAAGUUGCUGUUUAUGAUUGUAGUAAAUUCCAAUGAUUCAUAGCAUAUGAACAUGAACCAUGCUGGUUGUCUUGUGUCACCUCCCUGUCUUCCAUAUGCCUUAGCAUAGCUUUCAGCAAGAUUUGCUCCAUAACCUUCCCCAGCACUGAGAUGAGGCUAACAGGUUGGUAGUUCACUGGAUCAUCCUUUCUACCUUCCUUAAAAAUGGAUGUGACAAUGCCUUUUUUCCAGUCACUGGGGACUUCAUCUGAUUGCCCUGACUUUUCGAAUAUCAUAGAGAGUGUCCUGGUGAAUACAUGAGCCAAUUCCCUCAGGACUCUGGGAUGCAUCUCAUCAGGACCCAUAGACCUAUAGAUGUUGAGGUUCCUUAGGCAGUCACAAGCCUGAUCUUUGCUUGCAGCAGGAGGGCCAUCGCUCUCCCAGUUCCCACCUUCUGAACCAUUGUGUUAAAUUGGCAAAUGAUAAAGUGCUGAUUAAGUGUUACUAAGAAUCAUAUGAUCUAAUGUUGUUAUUUAUUGUAAAAUUAUUAAUAAAUCAUAAACUGCUGCUAAAUAAAAGCUGAGUAAAAACAUAUUUAUGACAAGGUUAUCUGUUACUGUCGAUCAUUCUUAGCUUUCUGUGUGUGCCAAAGGACCUAAACGCAUUAAUUCCUUGUGAAUAUCUAUUCAGAAUUAGCAGAAAAUUAAAAAAGAGGAGAAAUCCAGUUGUCUGUCUUCAACAACAUUGUUCUAUUUUACCAGUGUUGAAUAGAGAGUAGAUGAAAAUCCUUAGUCUUGACUAAUCUGUCCAAGAAAAUAAUGGAAUAGAAUGUAGAAAAUAUAAACAUUUCUUCUCUCUCUCUCUCUUCUUUCACUGCAAGAUGAGUUCUUCUCAGUUCAAAAAGAUCACUUACGGGAAUGAGGAGAUAUCCAAAGUUUACUGUGGAUCAUUACAUAAUACCUCUGAUACUGCUACCUGAUCUUCUGUACACCUGCAUCUACACGUCACAAAGCUGGGAACAUCAAAUUCUGUUCUCUGUUACUUCUACAUCAGGACACAAAUUUUGCAACUCAGCGUAUUUCUUAGGGAGUCAAAAGGUGAAGCAGCUAAUUGGGUAGUGCAUCACUACGGGCUAGAGCUAUACCAGUGAAUGGGAGAUCAGCCUGGGGGCAGUUGUUUCUCAAAAGCAAAGGUACUCUCUGUCAUGUUCCCCAAACAUUCAUUUUUAAGUCAUACAUGUAAUUAGUAAUUUGUCACAUAGGUUAAAAUAGAAGAUGUAGUUACAUAACAGAACGUGAUGAGUUGUUGCAAUUGCUAAUUCAUUUUUACCCAUGUGAAGGAAAUGUAAAAUGGCAGAUUUACACUUGCUUUGCGAAGUGAAAACACUAAUACAAGAUUGGGAAAUAGAUGUAAUCAGAAACUGUGAUCUUGUGCAACAGGUGAUUCUUUAUUUUGCUUUGGGAAGACUCAUAGAAUGGCUUAGGCUGGAGGGGACCUCAAAGAUCAUCUACGUUCAAUCCCCCUGCCAUCAGCAGGGUUGCAAACCACUAGAUCAGGCUGCCCAGGAACCCAUCUAGCCUGGCCUUGAAUGUGUCCAGGGAUGAGGCAUCCACAA